UGACCUCAAGUCAUAUGAGAGUACUCGCCGAACUUAAGCAUAUCAAUAAGUAGAGGAAAAGAAACUAAUAAGGAUUCCCCUAGUAACGGCGAGUGAAGUGGAAAGAGCACAAAUUUAAAAUCUACCUGGUUUCCAGGUCGAGUUGUAAUUUGAAGAAAUGUUUUUGACAUUCCGGGUUGGACUAAAUCCUUUGGGAUAAGGUAUCAUAGAGGGUGAGAAUCCUGUAUAAUACCAAUCGUAGGGAUGUUAUUUAAUAAUGUUUCUAAGAGUCAAGUUGUUUGGAAAUGCAGCUCUAAAUGGGUGGUAAAUUUCACCUAAUGCUAAAUAUAAGUGAGAGACCGAUAGCGAACAAGUACAGUGAUGGAAAGAUAAAAAGAACUUUGAAAAGAGAGUUAAAUAGUACGUGAAAUUGUUAAAAGGGAAAUGAUUGAAGUCAGUCAUGCUGGCGGGAAUCAGUUUAGAGGAAACUCUGGGUGCACUUCUUCGCUUGGCAGGCUAGUGUCGAUUUUGGAUGUCAUAAAAUGAUUGGGGCAAAGUAGCUCCUUUGGGAGUGUUAUAGCCCUUGGUAGAUGUAAUGUCUGGGGUCGAGGAUUGCAAUAGAUACCCUUCGGGGCUAGCCGCCUGGCCUCUAAUUGGUGUUGGGUUAUGGAUAGCAUGCUAACCAUGAUCGGAUUACUGGUUAAAAGGUUAAAGCGUGUAUAAAUUCAUUAAGGAUGCUGACGUAAUGGCUUUAAACAACCCGUCUUGAAACACGGACCA
rnacentral:rRNA from 1 species